GUCCGAACCACCAUGAUUCUUCAGAGACUCUUCAGAUUCUCCUCUGUCAUUUGGUCAGCAGUCUCUGUCCACUUGCGGAGGAACAUUGGUGUUACAGCUGUGGCAUUUAAUAAGGAACUUGAUCCUAUACAGAAACUCUUUGUGGACAAGAUUAGAGAGUACAAAGCAAAGCGACAGUCAUCUCAAGGACCUGUUGAUAUUGGCCCAGAGUAUCAGCAAGACCUGGAGAGAGAGAUUUUUAAACUUCAACAAAUGUAUGGGAAAGGAGACAUGACGACGUUCCCCACCUUCAAAUUUGAAGAUCCCAAAUUUGAAGUCUUGGAAAAACCCUCAUCCUAAAGAAAUAACAUGAAGUGAAUCUGGUAACUUGUCAUGGAUUUGUUGUACAACUACUUAGAAAUAUAAUAAAUAUACACU